rnacentral:rRNA from 1 species
GAUGAACGCUGGCGGCGUGCCCAAUACAUGCAAGUCGAGCGAACAGACGAGGAGCUUGCUCCUCUGACGUUAGCGGCGGACGGGUGAGUAACACGUGGAUAACCUACCUAUAAGACUGGGAUAACUUCGGGAAACCGGAGCUAAUACCGGAUAAUAUAUUGAACCGCAUGGUUCAAUAGUGAAAGACGGUUUUGCUGUCACUUAUAGAUGGAUCCGCGCCGCAUUAGCUAGUUGGUAAGGUAACGGCUUACCAAGGCAACGAUGCGUAGCCGACCUGAGAGGGUGAUCGGACACACUGGAACUGAGACACGGUCCAGACUCCUACGGGAGGCAGCAGUAGGGAAUCUUCCGCAAUGGGCGCAAGCCUGACGGAGCAACGCCGCGUGAGUGAUGAAGGUCUUCGGAUCGUAAAAAUCUGUUAUUAGGGAAGAACAAAUGUGUAAGUAACUAUGCACGUCUUGACGGUACCUAAUCAGAAAGCCACGGCUAACUACGUG